GAACCGGGAUGAGCUCAAAUUUAAAAUCUGGCGUCUUUCAGGCGUCCGAGUUGUAAUCUAUAGAGGCGUUUUCCGCGCCGGACCGCGUCCAAGUCUCUUGGAAUAGAGUAUCAAAGAGGGUGACAAUCCCGUACUUGACGCGACAACCGGUGCUCUGUGAUACGUUCUCAAUGAGUCGAGUUGUUUGGGAAUGCAGCUCUAAAUGGGUGGUAAAUUCCAUCUAAGGCUAAAUAUUGGCGAGAGACCGAUAGCGAACAAGUACCGUGAGGGAAAGAUGAAAAGCACUUUGGAAAGAGAGUUAAACAGCACGUGAAAUUGUUAAAAGGGAAACGAUUGAAGUCAGUCGUGUGAAAGGUAUUCAGCCGUCUCUGGCGGUGUAUUUGCCUUUCACGGGUCAACAUCAGUUUGAUCCGGUAGAAAAAGGCAGGAGGAAGGUGGCACCCUCGGGUGUGUUAUAGCCUCUUGUCAUAUGUGCCGGACCAGACUGAGGAACGCAGCUUGCCGCAAGGCCGGGGUUCGCCCACGUACAAGCUUAGGAUGUUGACAUAAUGGCUUUAAACGACCCGUCUUGAA
rnacentral:rRNA from 1 species